AUUGAACGCUGGCGGCAGGCCUAACACAUGCAAGUCGAGCGAGCGGCGGACGGGUGAGUAAUGUAUGGGGACUGCCCGAUAGAGGGGGAUAACUCCUGGAAACGGUGGCUAAUACCGCAUACUAUCGUAUCCCCCAUAUGGGAUUAGAGAGUAGGUAAGGUAAUGGCUUACCUAGGCGACGAUCCCUAGCUGGUCUGAGAGGAUGAUCAGCCACACUGGGACUGAGACACGGCCCAGACGCCUACGGAGGCAGCAGUGGGGAAUAUUGCACAAUGGGCGCAAGCCUGAUGCAGCCAUGCCGCGUGUAUGAAGAAGGCCCUAGGGUUGUAAAGUACUUUCAGUCGGGAGGCGUUACCGACAGAAGAAGCACCGGCUAACUCCGUGCCAGCAGCCGCGGUAAUAC
rnacentral:rRNA from 1 species